AGAGUUUGAUCCUGGCUCAGAGCGAACGCUGGCGGCAGGCCUAACACAUGCAAGUCGAGCGCCCCGCAAGGGGAGCGGCAGACGGGAGAGUAACACGUGGGAACGUACCCUUCAGUUCGGAACAACCCAGGGAAACUUGGGCUAAUACCGGAUACGUCCGUAAGGAGAAAGAUUUAUCGCUGAAGGAUCGGCCCGCGUCUGAUUAGCUUGUUGGUGAGGUAACGGCUCACCAAGGCGACGAUCAGUAGCUGGUCUGAGAGGAUGAUCAGCCUCACUGGGACUGAGACACGGCCCAGACUCCUACGGGAGGCAGCAGUGGGGAAUAUUGGACAAUGGGCGCAAGCCUGAUCCAGCCAUGCCGCGUGGAUGAUGAAGGCCCUAGGGUUG
rnacentral:rRNA from 1 species